UUUGUGUGUGUGUGUGUGUGUGUGUGUGUUACACAGUGUUUAAAGUAUGCUACAAGAAGUUUAGGUAUUGAGACUUUGGCCUAAAUAUUUGGCAAAAACUGU